CUGGGGACCAGCGGGGCCCUGGAGGGCAGGAAGGAGGGGUCGGGAAGGGAUGCGGAAGCUUCUAGAGGCCACAAACAUUCCGUCGGUUCUCUCUGGUGUACACAGGUAGGCAGGCCCGCACCUGCCAAGUGUGUGCUCUAUGCACUGCCGUCUGUUGCCUGCGACUUGGCUGAUGUAAAAGUGCCUAGCGUGGCCUGGCGGGGGCUCAAACACAGAGCAGGGUCUGCAGGCCCCGGGGGCUGCGGCACGAGCUCACAGAGUGGACUCCGGGCCUCCCCUCAGCCACUCUCUCAUGGGCGUGGGCUGGAACCUUAUUUUUUCACACCAAACACUCGCUUCACAUCUCCUGCGGCACUGACACCCCCGAGAGAUCGGCUCAGUCUCUCGGGUUUCCUUCAGUGCCGAGGAAAGCAGGCUCAGGUGAGGGAGCUGCCCGGAGCCCUCGGGGCGCCACCGCCCACGACAGCCCCCCUCAAUGCCGUCCCCAAGUGGCCUCCUCCUUCUGCACGGGUCGGGUUGGGGAGGAGAGGGACAGGCACCUUUGGGCUGGAGGCCAGGCCCUGCCGGGCACAGCCCCUGACCGUCAGCAGGCCCAGCUGGGGCAGAAGCUGCCUCCCGUCCUGGACGCUGGAGGGACCCUGUGGAUCAGGAAGGCGGCUCACGGCAUCCGGAGCUCAGAGGCCCUGCUGUCGGCCUCAUCCCGUGACGUCAGCAGCAGAGGAAGAGUGUCGACCACCGAAUGCCCAGGGUGGCUCCAUGCGGAAGGAGGCAGCGCUGCCGAGCGCAGGCCACCGACACCGACACCGGCCGUGGACACAGGCGGGAGGCUGGGCGGCGGCGAGUCUUGCGCCUGCGCAGACCUGGUCGGGCGCAGACGGCGACUCAGGCUCUGCCCAGUGCAGUCGCUGCGCCCCCAUUUUUCCCAUGCCGGCUGCACGUGGCGGCAGGCACCUCUGGCCCAGGGCAUUCUGCAAAGACACCCUGGGUGCUGCCUCCACCCAGCAGUCCGUGGUGACACACAGGUGCCCACCCAGCCCCCUCCCUCCAGCGUCACCUGCAGAGCCUGGCUUUUCCACCCUUCACACCCAGGGUGGGUGGCACAGCUCGUGUCUCGCCUCAGGUGGGCCUGCGGCCAUUCUAAAGGACACCGCGUCCUCCCAGAGAUAGCCCUGGCCAGCCACCGCCACCUCGCUCUCACCAGGCAGCCCUGGAGGGUGCCCGCCUGUCACUGAGCCUGCAGCCCAGGCCCGCUCCACCGUGGGGUGACCGGGCUUCCCGCACAGCCUGCCUGCGGCAUUGCCACUGCACCAGGCGGUGGCGCUGCUGCCUUGGGGCAUCUGAGGCCACUUCCCCCAGGAGCACCGAGCCCAGCCAGGGGACUUGGCCCUGGGAGCUCACCUGGCCCCAUCCCUUUCCUUCCACGUCUGGGAAGGACAGCGUGCAGAGGGUGCAGAGCGGGGGCGUCAGAGCCCGUGGGAGGCUCUGCAGCCCAGUCUGCCGCAGCCCAGAGAGGCCGUGUCCACCACCACAAAGCUUCCACAGUGCCUGUGCCCACUCAUCGCUGGCCAUGAGUCAUUUCCUCGGGUCCUCUGUGCCCCUCCUCAGUAGCACCUGCUGAUCUCCCGCUGGGGCCCCAAGAGCCAGGCGUCAGGUUCGCCGCCUUCCCAUCCUCGUGCUGCCAAGGGAACCAGCGCCUC
ensembl:lncRNA